rnacentral:lncRNA from 1 species
UUAGAUAUUUUUUAUUAUUUUUGGAAUCUUUAAACCUAUAAUAGUUUAAAAUUUCUUAGGAUCCAUCAUAAGUUCAUCAUUUGAAAUGAUGUAUUCUAAGAAGUGAACUUGAAUAGUGUAGAAUACAUAGUUUUUUUUAAUCUUGGCAUAGAAUCUUACAUCUUUUAGUUUUGUAAUACAUAAUAAAUAUGAAGUUUAUAUUCUUUUGUAUUCUUAAAUUAGAUUAAGAUGUUUAGAUAAAAGAUAAUAAAGCCAUCUAAAAACUCUUAAAAGACAUCAUGCAUUAGAUAUUGGAAAGUUGUUGGUAUAUU